GUGUUCAGAUUUCACCGAGGAAUCGAAGGAGAUUGCGCAGAGCAGAAAGAGGUUGUUCACCUGCGGUCGAAGUUAAGGUUAACUCUGAAGGAAAACCAAGAGAAGAACGCAGACACUUUCGAAUUAAAAAGAUUCGGAAAAGGUUUGGCAAUCGACACUUUAUUUUCAUAAAGGCAAGAAAGCGGCUGAGGCUCACAAAGUGAUAUGUGAAGUUAAUGGUGCUGAUUACUUAACAGAACGAAAGUGUCAGAAUUGGUUUAAAAAAUUCGUUCUGGACAUUUUUCACUUGAAGAUGACCAACGUUCUGGCUGAGCUUCUGAGGUAGAUGAUGACAAAAUUAUAGCCAGAACUGAAUCGAAUCGUCUUCUAAUUGUGUAAGAGAUUGCAAAAAGGGUAAUUGAAACACAACACACAACAAUUGAAAACCACAUAAGAUGUCUUUGAACUCGUUAAGAAGCAUGAUAUUUGAGUUCCGCGUGAAUUAAAAGAAAUUAAAUUAACAUGACGAAUCAAUAUCUGAGAUACGCAUUUCAAACGUAAUGCAACAGAGAGUUUUCUGAAAUGAAUUAUCACUGGUAAUAAAAAGUGGACCGUUUAUAACAACAUUAAUCGAAAACGAUUAUAUUCCAAGCAUGAUGAGUCAGCAUAAAUCAUAUCGAGCUAAACAGCACAGAAAAAGAUCGUGCUGUCAAUUGUGGGAUUAGAAAGGUGCUGUGUAUUUUGAGCUGCUUCCAAGCAAGCAAACGAUCAACUCAGAUGUUUACUGCAAAACAACUUUUAAAAUUGGAGGAAGCAAUAAAAAAGAAAAGGCCAGAAUUGGCAAAUCGCAAAGGAAUCUUGUUCUAUCAAUGCGAGGCCUCAAGCAUCUUUCAGUAACACGAAAUUAUUGGAGCUUCGUUAGGAAAUGAUGUCGCAUUCCCCAUAUACCCCGGCCCUUGCGCUGUUGGGUUAUCAUUUAUAUCGAAGUUUACAAAAGAGCAAACCAAACCACAAAAAAGAGCUUCAAUUACUUCUCUGGAAGCGAUGCAUUUACGUAAGCCUAACAUUGCGGCCUACGAAAGCACUCACUUCGAACUUACGCUUUUGUCUGAACAAUUGUUUAGAAUACUUUCCUUGAAGUCUGAUUAAAAUUAAUGGAUUAUCAUUCACGAUAUUAAAUAAAAAUGUAGGGGUGUUUAUCUUUUUUUUUUUUUUGGAGACUAUUAAGAACAAAUAAUGGUAGACAUAUAACUUUUCUUACUUGAAAUGGCGUUCACGGAUACUUAGCCAAAACCCUCUUAACCAACAAGAAUACUUAGCCGACAGGACAUUUAAUUAAUAGCACAUUUAAAGGACAACAUUUAGCCACCACAUGUUUAGCUGACAAUGGCAAUAGGACGUUGACAAUGGCUUAUGAAAUUUAGCCAACAUAAAGUCAUUUUCUGACUGCACAAUGAAGGGAGCAUGUUUUUUGACAAGAUUUUGGAUGCAUGGGCUCUGACUGACGAAGCAAUAAUAACGAAGAACUUGCAUAAAUAUCUCUUGAUGAUUUUGAAGAUCAUUGCACGUUAGCAGAACAGACUGAAUGAUAACUAAGGCGAUGGCAAUGUUGACUAUGGAGACGACUUGCAAGCUGUCGCAAACUGCAAAAACAGCAGAUGCAGCAGCUGGAUGAUCUGAGGCUCAAGGAGUAACAACGGACAACAAUAAAAAAAACUAAGGAGCCAUCUGGUGCAGAUAUGAAGAAUACGAUGCAGUUUGAAGAAUCAUUUUAGAGUUUAGAACGUUAUGAAGUUCUAGGGAGCAAGGCUGUAAUGAAUAAGAUAAUCAUGGUUGAGAGUAUUACAAGCAACAGACGAAACUGUAUUUACGAACAUCCAGAACUUCUCCUGGAUUCAAACCUGAGCUUAACGAUAUAGCAGCUGUAACCAAGGUUAAUAGACAAACAAGAUUAGGCUCUUUCCAACGCUCCAGCUUAAAGAUGUAAUUUGAUGCACAAAAAUGAAAGAAACGAAGACACAAAAUCGUGCCCGCGAGAAAUUUGAGCUUGACACUACUGAUGUAGAGGAUGUUACAGAUUAGACUUACCAAAAUUUUAUAAUAAAUACUAAAGUGUCACUGUAUACUUCAAUGACAUUUCUGUGUUGGAAGUGGAAAAACAAUCAUUGGCUUACUUCUACCAUAAGACUGCUCUUAAAGAAACGUAUUUUAAAGCUGCCGAAAUCCCCCAGAUGUAAGAAAAGUUUACAGACCUCGAAAGAAGCAAAACUGAAAAAAAAAAUUGCAACAUACUUCUUGCAAUAUCUCAGAAGAAGUCUGACGAUCUACAAAGUUUAAUCAUCGGCAGUGCAAUCAAUACGAAGUUGUUAUUCAGCAUUUUACAGCAAUAUAAAAUUUGAAUCUUGGAAAAAAGAUUAUGUUUCGAAACUUAAGUAAAA
rnacentral:lncRNA from 1 species